GGAGCGAAAGGGUGGGGAGCAAACAGGCUUAGAUACCCUGGUAGUCCACCCCGUAAACGUUGGGAACUAGUUGUGGGGUCCAUUCCACGGAUUCCGUGACGCAGCUAACGCAUUAAGUUCCCCGCCUGGGGAGUACGGCCGCAAGGCUAAAACUCAAAGGAAUUGACGGGGACCCGCACAAGCGGCGGAGCAUGCGGAUUAAUUCGAUGCAACGCGAAGAACCUUACCAAGGCUUGACAUAUACGAGAACGGGCCAGAAAUGGUCAACUCUUUGGACACUCGUAAACAGGUGGUGCAUGGUUGUCGUCAGCUCGUGUCGUGAGAUGUUGGGUUAAGUCCCGCAACGAGCGCAACCCUCGUUCUAUGUUGCCAGCACGUAAUGGUGGGAACUCAUGGGAUACUGCCGGGGUCAACUCGGAGGAAGGUGGGGAUGACGUCAAAUCAUCAUGCCCCUUAUGUCUUGGGCUUCACGCAUGCUACAAUGGCCGGUACAAAGGGCUGCAAUACCGCGAGGUGGAGCGAAUCCCAAAAAGCCGGUCCCAGUUCGGAUUGAGGUCUGCAACUCGACCUC
rnacentral:rRNA from 1 species